rnacentral:rRNA from 1 species
CGUGCCUAAUACAUGCAAGUAGAACGCUGAAGGAAGGAGCUUGCUCUUUCCGGAUGAGUUGCGAACGGGUGAGUAACGCGUAGGUAACCUGCCUGGUAGCGGGGGAUAACUAUUGGAAACGAUAGCUAAUACCGCAUAAUAUUGAUUAUUGCAUGAUAGUCAAUUAAAAGGUGCAAUUGCAUCACUACCAGAUGGACCUGCGUUGUAUUAGCUAGUUGGUGGGGUAACGGCUCACCAAGGCGACGAUACAUAGCCGACCUGAGAGGGUGAUCGGCCACACUGGGACUGAGACACGGCCCAGACUCCUACGGGAGGCAGCAGUAGGGAAUCCUCGGCAAUGGACGGAAGUCUGACCGAGCAACGCCGCGUGAGUGAAGAAGGUUUUCGGAUCGUAAAGCUCUGUUGUAAGAGAAGAACGAGUGUGAGAGUGGAAAGUUCACACUGUGACGGUAUCUUACCAGAAAGGGACGGCUAACUACGUG